CAAUAGCGUAUAUUUAAGUUGCUGCAGUUAAAAAGCUCGUAGUUGGAUUUCGGGUGGGAAUGGCCGGUCCGCCGUUUCGGUGUGCACUUGCUACGCCCACCUUGCUGCCGGGGACGUGCUCUUGAGUUCACGCUCGGGACACGGAGUCGGCGAGGUUACUUUGAGUAAAUUAGAGUGUUCAAAGCAGGCCUACGCUCUGAAUACAUUAGCAUGGAAUAACACGAUAGGACUCUGGCCUAUCUUGUUGGUCUGUAGGACCGGAGUAAUGAUUAAGAGGGACAGUCGGGGGCAUUCGUAUUUCAUUGUCAGAGGUGAAAUUCUUGGAUUUAUGAAAGACGAACUAUUGCGAAAGCAUUUGCCAAGGAUGUUUUCAUUAA
rnacentral:rRNA from 1 species